rnacentral:rRNA from 1 species
UACAGGGGGUGCAAACGUUGCUCGGAAUUAUUGGGCGUAAAGCGCACGUAGGCGGUCUGUCGCGUCUGCUGUGAAAACUCGGGGCUUAACCCCGGGCCUGCAGUGGGUACGGGCAGACUAGAGUGCGGUAGGGGAGACUGGAAUUCCUGGUGUAGCGGUGAAAUGCGCAGAUAUCAGGAGGAACACCGGUGGCGAAGGCGGGUCUCUGGGCCGUAACUGACGCUGAGGAGCGAAAGCAUGGGGAGCGAACAGG